CCUACGGGAGGCAGCAGUGGGGAAUAUUGCACAAUGGGGGAAACCCUGAUGCAGCGACGCCGCGUGAGUGAAGAAGUAUUUCGGUAUGUAAAGCUCUAUCAGCAGGGAAGAAAAUGACAGUACCCGACCAAGAAGCCCCGGCUAACUACGUGCCAGCAGCCGCGGUAAUACGUAGGGGGCCAGCGUUAUCCGGAUUUACUGGGCGUAAAGGGAGCGUAGACGGUUAUGUAAGUCUGGAGUGAAAGCCCGGGGCCCCACCCCGGGACUGCUUUGGAAACUGUGUAACUGGAGUGCAGGAGGGGCAUGCGGAAUGCCUGGUGUAGCGGUGAAAUGCGUAGAUAUCAGGAGGAACACCGGCUGCGAAGGCGGCCUGCUGGACUGAAACUGACGUUGAGGCUCGAAAGCGUGGGGAGCAAACAGGAUUAGAUACCCGGGUAGUC
rnacentral:rRNA from 1 species